rnacentral:rRNA from 1 species
UACGUAGGGUGCGAGCGUUAAUCGGAAUUACUGGGCGUAAAGCGUGCGCAGGCGGUGAUGUAAGUCCGAUGUGAAAUCCCCGGGCUUAACCUGGGAACUGCAUUUGUGACUGCAUAGCUGGAGUGCGGCAGAGGGGGAUGGAAUUCCGCGUGUAGCAGUGAAAUGCGUAGAUAUGCGGAGGAACACCGAUGGCGAAGGCAAUCCCCUGGGCCUGCACUGACGCUCAUGCACGAAAGCGUGGGGAGCAAACAGG